rnacentral:rRNA from 1 species
UACCAGCACCCCGAGUGGUCGGGACGUUUAUUGGGCCUAAAACAUCCGUAGCCGGUUCUGCAAGUCUUCCGUUAAAUCCACCUGCUUAACAGAUGGGCCGCGGAAGAUACUAUAGAGCUAGGAGGCGGGAGAGGCAAGCGGUACUCGAUGGGUAGGGGUAAGAUCCGUUGAUCCAUUGAAGACCACCAGUGGCGAAGGCGGCUUGCCAGAACGCGCUCGACGGUGAGGGAUGAAAGCUGGGGGAGCAAACCGG